CGUAACACAUUUGAGGGCAAAUAUAAUGAACAUGAGAAUCAAUUGCACCAGCAGUGAAGAUCAAGCCCUCGCCAGCCAAUGCCUCCGUACCAGCGCCCACAAUCAUGCCAGGCGUGACAUUGUCCAUCAUGUCUGGGUUGCCCGAUUUGCCAAUACCCACAAUAAUGCCCUUUUUGAUACCAAUAUCAGCCUUGUAAAUGCCAGUGUAGUCAAAGAUCAUGGCGUUUGUAAUCACCAGAUCCAAAAUGUCCUUGUCGCAAGCAUCGGUUGCUUGGCCCAUGCCUUCUCUCAG
rnacentral:sRNA from 1 species